rnacentral:lncRNA from 1 species
GUGUACAGUUGCUCAGCUCUGUGUAUGACUCUGCACUAACAGGAAAAGGAAGGACUUUGAGGUGAUGUCACAAGGCCUAGGAAGAGAAACAGGAUACACCAAGGUUAAGAAGACACGAUCAAAGCUGGGACAAUGAUAUUUUGCUACUGUAUGAAUUCUCCCUCAGCUGGCUUAAUCCUCUUCUUAGGGAGACCUGGUGCUGAAAGCCGAUCAUUUAGGUGGACUCUAAAUAAAGCCAGUAGCUUGAAUUCCUGCCACCAGCCCUUUUAUAAUGAAAAGGCUCUAAUGAAUGCUGAUUUCAUUGCAGCACAAACAGAGCUUCCCUUUGGCAGUUCCUCUUGACUCUGAAAUUAGCUUCUCUGAUUCAUUCCAACCAAUUCUUCCACUGGCAAACGUGCGUCCUGGUGCAAGGAUAGACAACUGCCCACCCUCUCAGCUACAAGCGAUUGUUAUUUUGAGCCAUUUUCAACACCCCUGUAUUGCACACCUAAAAAUGACCACUGCUGUUUCUCCUCAAUUUAAUGUCACUGUCUUGUGUGACAGCCACUCCUGUCCCCAAAGUAACAAAACACAUUUUGAAAGCUGCACACUGACAGACACUACAUAGUGC